rnacentral:lncRNA from 1 species
AAAAACAAAUUGAGAAAAAUCUGAAAAAACGAAGCCACUUCAAGUUCUUUGUUUCUCUUUCGUUGUGUAGGAUGUAGGCAUUUCCUGUGUUUUUUACGUGGCUCAUCCAAACAACAUCUCUACUACUAUUAUAUGAGAUUUUUUCCUUUGGUACGUCGUUCCCCGUCCACGCACGUUUAUCCGACUCCCUGUGAAAAAUCCAAAAAAAUACAUGUUUAUUGGGGUUUAAACAGUGGCGGAUCCAGGAUUAAUCCAAGAGGGGGCUGCUAAGCUAAGGUUAUUAAAAAAAUUAAUCCAAACAAAAAGAAUCUAAUUAAUAUUUAAUAUGACACAACAAGCAAGGCAUAAUUUAAACAUGCAAGAAGUAUGUAGACCAAAAUAAAAUAUGAAUUCUACAAAUACAAUAAUCAAUAAAUAUCGUUCAUAAAUCACAAGUUGAUGUUGCUAGGUAAAUUUAUCUUCCAAGUUUUUAUGCUGAUGUCUAUGAAAAUGUAUGAUCAAAUGGUUGACAUGGGCCCAUUUGUAAAUAAGCUAUUUUAGCAUCAACUUUAAUUUAUGGGGAACUCAUCAAUUGGUUUUCUAAGGUCGGGAUCUGCAACUAUAUCAUUUAUAUUUAGCUCAAUCUGUGGUCUUUUCUAUUCUACACGACUCUCAUUUGUUCCAAUUGUAUUAGAAUUAGAAGCAUAUUUAUUUUUGUUCUUGAUGAGAAAUUUAUCUAUCUUAUCCUACAAACAUAAAAUUUAAUUUUAUUAACUAUCCAACCUAGCAAACAUUGUACCACUAGCAAAUAAAUAAUUAAAUCAAAGUACCAAACAAUAAAAUAGUUUUUUAGCCUUACCGUGCUUACCACUAGUACUGCCAUGGCACAGUACCACUAGCAGAAACCCACUGGUUCAAGGCUUCACGUAAUUAGCCGCUGCUACAAAUCAGGAUGCCAGAAGCUGCUCCAGCGCCCGCCCGCUAUGGCCUGGCCGCGUCCCGGCGUCCGUGUGGCGUGGUCUUCUCGAGAGCUGACCGGCUGUACAUCUACGCAACGCCGGGCGCCCGGGCCGUCCACUAGUGGCCACAGCCGCGACCGCCCCAGCUGGGUCGGGUACGUCGCCGGCGGCUAGGCAGGCGCGACGUGCUCGUCUCGCUGCGCGGAACGGUGGGGUGAGUGAGGGAGCGAGCAAGCGGCGGAGCGCCACGGAGGCCUCAGGGCAGCACCGCGACGGCUGGCGAGCCAAGGGCGGACAGCGGCAGGCCGGUGGCUAGGGCGCAGCACGAGCGAGU